rnacentral:rRNA from 1 species
UACGUAGGUGGCGAGCGUUAUCCGGAAUUAUUGGGCGUAAAGAGCGCGCAGGUGGUUGAUUAAGUCUGAUGUGAAAGCCCACGGCUCAACCGUGGAGGGUCAUUGGGAAACUGGGGGACUUGAGUACAGAAGAGAAGAGUGGAAUUCCACGUGUAGCGGUGAAAUGCGUAGAGAUGUGGAGGAACACCAGUGGCGAAGGCGACUCUUUGGUCUGUAACUGACGCUGAGGCGCGAAAGCGUGGGGAGCAAACAGG